AUAUCUGGCUCAGGGUCGGUUAAACAUCUAUCAGACUGUUCGCAGUCUGCAUCGGGCUCCCGUUUGUCCUCAAACGGUGCCUCAGAGUAUACCGUUCGGAGUUUGCGACGACUCAACUCUUGGACCUCACAGUCUGGGUUGGCCUGUCCGCUGCCCGAACGCGUAUGGCGCAGGACGCCUCAGUCCGACGCGCUGCCCAACUCACUUU
rnacentral:misc_RNA from 1 species